ACCGGCGAACGGGUGAGUAACACGUGGGCAAUCUGCCCUGAAGACGGGGACAACCUCGGGAAACCGGGGCUAAUACCCGACACCCUCCUCGGGGGGCAUCCUCUGAGGAGGAAAAGGUCCGUAAGGUCCGCUCCAGGAUGAGCCCGCGGCCUAUCAGCUAGUUGGUGGGGUCACGGCCUACCAAGGCUAUGACGGGUAGCUGGUCUGAGAGGACGAUCAGCCACACUGGGACUGAGACACGGCCCAUACUCCUACGGGAGGCAGCAGUUGGGAAUAGUGGGCAAUGGGCGCAAGCCUGACCCAGCGACACCGCGUGGGGGACGAAGGCCUUCGGGUCGUAAACCCCUGUCAGGAGGGACGAANUCCGCCGCAAGGCGGGUGACGGUACCUCCAGAGGAAGCCCCGGCGAACUACGUGCCAGCAGCCGCGGUAAGACGUAGGGGGCGAGCGUUGUCCGGAUUUACUGGGCGUAAAGCGCGUGCAGGCGGUCCGUUAAGUCUCGUGUGAAAUCCUCCGGCUCAACCGGAGAACGCCGCGGGAUACUGACGAGCUUGAGGGCGGUAGAGGGUGACGGAAUUCCCGGUGGAGCGGUGAAAUGCGUAGAUAUCGGGAGGAACGCCAGUGGCGAAGGCGGUCACCUGGGCCGUCCCUGACGCUGAGACGCGAAAGCUGGGGGAGCGAACGGGAUUAGAUACCCCGGUAGUCCCAGCCGUAAACGAUGCUCACUANGUGUUGGGGG
rnacentral:rRNA from 1 species